UGGUGGAGCGAUUUGUCUGGUUAAUUCCGAUAACGAACGAGACUCUAGCCUAUUAAAAUAGUUCGCCGAUUCUAUGUUCGGUGCCAACUUCUUAGAGGGACAAGUGGCGUUUAGCCACGCGAGAUUGAGCAAUAACA
rnacentral:rRNA from 1 species